CCUUGGUAACAGUUAAUCAAAUACCUGGUUGAUAAAAGUGAAAACCUUGUUAGUAUAUAUAAGUAAAUCUUGGUGAUAAAUUUGCAAAGAACAAAAUACCUGGCUGAAAUAUUAAAUGAAAACCUUGCAAAUAUAUAGGUACAGAAGACUGAGAAUAUGUUUGAAGGGAGGAGGAGAAGGAAGAGGAAGAGGAGGAGGAGGAGGAGGAGGAAGGGAAGAGAAGAAAGGGAAAGGAGAAGAAAAGGAAGGGAAAGGAGAAGAAAAGGAAGGGAAAGGAAGAGAAAAAAAGGAAGGGAAAGGAAGAGAAGGAAAGGAAGGGAAAGGAAGAGAAGGAAGGGAAAGGAAGAGAAGAAAAGGAAGGGAAAGGAAGAGAAGAAAAGGAAGGGAAAGGAAGAGAAGAAAAGGAAGGGAAAGGAAGAGAAGAAAAGGAAGGGAAAGGAAGAGAAGGAAGGGAAAGGAGAAGAAAAGGAAGGGAAAGGAAGAGAAGAAAAUUAAGGGAAAGAAGAAGAAAAGAAAGGGAAAGGAGAAGAAAAGGAAGGGAAAGGAAGAGAAGAAAAAGAAGGGAAAGGAAGAGAAAAGGAAGGGAAAGGAAGAGAAAGGGAAGGGAAAGGAAGAGAAGGAAGAAAAUAACAAAAUAAGGGUAGAAAGAAAGAGGAAUGUAGAGAAUGGAAGAAAAGAAGGGAGAGGAAAAUACUAAGAGAAGAGGAACAAGGGAAGAGAAGGAAGGGAAGGAAGAAGAGGAAAUAUAUUACAAAUGAAAACCUUGCAAUAUAUUAGUAAAGAAAACCUUGGUAACAGUUAAUCAAAUACCUGGUUGAUAAAAGUGAAAACCUUGUUAGUAUAUAUAAGUAAAUCUUGGUGAUAAAUUUGCAAAGAACAAAAUACCUGGCUGAAAUAUUAAAUGAAAACCUUGCAAAUAUAUAGGUACAGAAGACUGAGAAUAUGUUUGAAGGGAGGAGGAGAAGGAAGAGGAAGAGGAGGAGGAGGAGGAGGA